UACGUAGGUGGCAAGCGUUGUCCGGAUUUAUUGGGUUUAAAGGGUGCGUAGGCGGCUUUGUAAGUCAGUGGUGAAAUACUCCAGCUUAACUGGAGGGGUGCCAUUGAUACUGCGGAGCUUGAGUACAGAUGAGGUAGGCGGAAUUGACGGUGUAGCGGUGAAAUGCAUAGAUAUCGUCAAGAACACCGAUAGCGAAGGCAGCUUACUGGGCUGUAACUGACGCUGAGGCACGAAAGUGUGGGGAUCAAACAGG
rnacentral:rRNA from 1 species